AUUCACAUACCAAUUUUCAUUAUUUUUAAAAUCUUUUUGGGGGAUGAUGAUGUCCUGACCCCACCUUAUUUAGUUUAAUUUUUCAUAAUUUUCUUGAUUAAUUUGCUAUUUAUUUGAUAAUUAUUAAGUUGACUUGAUUUUUCAGUUGACUUCUUUAUGAUUGAUGUUUGACUUAGGGAUUGCUUAUGGCAAUUGAAGAGAUCUUUUGAUCCUCCCUUGUUCAUCUCAUAUGCCAUGUAUUAGAGGCCCUUUAUCUUGAUUUUAUUUGAUCGUUACCUCAUUUCUUGAUUAAAUUAUUUCAAUGAACCCUUUUUGUACAUCUUUU
rnacentral:lncRNA from 1 species